rnacentral:tRNA from 1 species
ACUUUUGUAAAAUGGAUUUAUUUAUUUAUUUUAAGUUGGUUGUGGGUUCAAAUCCUGCCAAAAGCU